AGAAAUUCAUUUCAUACAAUUGAACCUUUUCAAACUGUUUCUUUUUAAGAACCAAAAAACUAGUGCCAAAAUAACAGAUGCCAAGAAGAACAAAAGGCCUUAGACACGUAAUGGAUCUUGAAGCACUAUUUCUGCAUCUCCCUGACCAAACCCUCCUACAUUGGGAUUGCUUGUUAAUGGUUGAUCAAGUUUGAUGGAUUCACCCUCUGAAAUCUUUACCCAACUCAAGAAUGACACCAAGAUAUUUUAUUGCAUUAUAACAAACAUGAAGGAAAAAUGCCACAAAUAAAAACCUCAAUAUUGCAGCUCAUUUUCAAAGAUGCAAAAGAAUCUCAUCAACAGUUGAUAAAACAAAAUAAAUGUGGAUACCACUUUUGGUUAAGGUUGAAGCUACAAAAAAAAUGCUAUUAUGUUUUUAAAUAAAGCAUGUCUUCCGUUAAAGGUGAUGUUUAAGCAGGUAAACAUAAAGGUCACUCCAAUUAGAGAGCAGGUAUCAACCAGAAAAUGGAGACAACAACAAACAGGAGAAUUUCAUAUAAAGAUUAUUUGGGUUUGUUUGGAAAAAUUAUCCAGCAGGCUUCAAGGGAAAAUCACUUAAUGAGGAUCCAAGGAUCCCAUAAAAAUAUUCGUAACUCUCCCUCAAGUGAAGGAAAUAAUCUCAACAAAAAUCAUAAAUGAGCGCACGAAGCAAAUUUCAGUGCUGUGUAAGAACAUCUUUAAACAGUUGAAAUAUGAUGAGAAUGAAGUAGUUAAUGGUAGGUUGCCGUUAUCCCUUGUCAUGUAUGUUCCAAGGGAAGGAAUACCAAGUCAGGUUCUUUUGGUAAUACCAAGAAGGGUUGAUCCAC
rnacentral:lncRNA from 1 species